CAACGACUCUAACAAAUAUCAUUGGGUGACUGCGAAGUCAAGCACGGCAAUCAAUUACCCGCAUUCAUUUGAUUUCAUUACUCGAACACUAGACUCGAUGCAGCGACAUGCAGAGCGUUGGAUUGCGCAACACUUGCCCUUGUCAACAAAGCGCGUUGACGCGGCGUAGCUUGUUAUAAAACGCGCACGCUUGACGAUACCGAACACUAAACGAACGACAUCGCUCCAAGCAACUCUACGCAAUGGCCUCCUUCUUGAACCUGAGUCUGAUUGCCCUGGCGGUGAUGAUGAUGGCGGCUGGCGCCAUUGCUGAUCCUGAUCCUAAACCUUUCCCUGCGCCUGGCAAAGGCAAAGGCGGGGGCAAAGGAAAGGGCAAAGGACACUGAAGAAAGGAUUGCGAACUGGCUUGAAAAAAUUGGACGUCGAUUAGAUUAGCAAAUUCUAUUUUUUUUUAUCAACGAAAAAUUAAACUUAGUGCGAAAUUAAU
rnacentral:lncRNA from 1 species